rnacentral:lncRNA from 1 species
CACUAUUAUACAAGAAUUAGCAACAAAAUGUCCUUAAUUUCAAAACAAGUCCAUGUAACCAUUCCAAAAGCAACAAUAUUGACAAGUUAAAAAGUCAUUGGAACACAAAUAUGUAAAACACAUAACAAAUGACAUGGACACAUCCAUAUGAAGUUAAAAAGUCAUUGGAAAACUGCAAAUAUACAUGCAUGGCAUGGACGCGUCCAUGCCAAGUUAAAAAAGUCAUUCGAACACAAAGAUACAAUGGCAUGGACACGUCCACGCCAAAUUAAAAAAGUAAUUGGAACUAAAUAUACAAUGGCGUGGAUCCGUCCAUGCCAUUGGAAAUUUAUGUUCCGAUUACUUUUUUAACUUGGCGUCGACUCGUCCAUGCCAUUGAUGGCAUGGACGCGUCCACGCCAAAUUAAAAAAUUAAUUGGAACAUAUAUUUCCAAAGGCAUGGACGGAUCCAUGCCAUUGUAUAUUUAUGUUCCAAUUAAUUUUUUAAAAUUUAUUUAACUUGGCAUGGACUCGUCCAUGCCAUUGAUGGCAUGGACGCGUCCACGCCAAGCUAAAAAAGUCAUUCGAACACAAAUAUACAAUGGCAUGGACACGUCCACGCCAAGUUAAAAAAGUAAUUGGAACAUAAAUUUCCAAUGGCAUGCGAAUCCAUGCCAUUGUAUAUUUAUGUAUGGCAUGGACACGUCCACACCAAGUUAAAAAAGUCAUUCAAACACAAAUAUACAAUGGCAUGGACACGUCCACGCCAAGUUAAAAAAGUAAUUGGAACAUGAAUUUCCAAUGGCAUGGACAAACCCAUGCCAUUGUAUAUUGAUGUAUGGCAUGGACACGUCCACGCCAAGUUAAAAAAGUCAUUCGAACACAAAUAUACAAUGGCAUGGACACGUCCACGCCAAGUUAAAAAAGUAAUUGGAACAUAAACUUCCAAUGGCAUGUUGAAUCCAUGCCAUUGUAUAUUUAUGUAUGGCAUGGACACGUCCACGCCAAGUUAAAAAAGUCAUUUGAACAAAAAUAUACAAUGGCAUGGACACAUCCACGCCAAGUUAAAAAAGUAAUUGGAACAUAAAUUUCCAAUGGCAUGGACAAAUCCAUGCCAUUGUAUAUUGAUGUUCCGAUUACUUUUUAAUUAAUUAAUUAACUUGGCGUGGACUCGUCCAUGCCAUUGAUGGCAUGGACAGUUCCACACCAAGUUAAAAAAGUCAUUCGAGCAAAAAUAUACAAUGGCAUGGACACGUCCACGCCAAGUUAAAAAAGUAAUUGGAACAUAAAUUUCCAAUGGCAUGGCGAAUCCAUGCCAUUGUAUAUUUAUGUAUGGCAUGGACGCGUCCACGCCAAGUUAAAAAAGUCAUUUGAACACAAAUAUACAAUGGCAUGGACAUGUCCACGCCAAGUUAAAAAAGUAAUUGGAACAUAUAUUUUCAAUGGCAUGGACGCGUCCACGCCAAUUUUAAAAGUUCAUUGGAACAUAAAUAUACAAUGCCAUUGUUGGCAUGGCACGUCCAGACCAAGUUAAAAAAGUCAUUCGAACACAAAUAAACAAGGUAUGGAUGCGUGCAUGCGAAACUUUAAGGCACGUUUAGACCAUACCAUAGUGAUUUGUUGCUUCAUCAACGAUUUGUUGCUUCAUUCUUGCAUUCAUUCCUCUCACCGUUCUAACAAAAUGGGAAAGGUUUUCUGAUCACCAGGUC